ACCGCUUGUCUUUUAUUUACUUCGGUUUGUAGCAUAUGUGAUCGGUCUCGAAAUUGUCAAGUCUUCAAUACUUGUUAAAGCCAUACUAUCGAAGCACGCCUUCUGAAUCAACUUUCUUCUUCACUCGACACUUAGCUCCCGCACCACAUGCCAAGGCGGACUACCUCGUGUGGCAACAGGUGCCACCGACUAACUCCAUAACCAAUCGUAAGCUCUCACUUUCCUCCUACAUGGAGCUCACUUACUCCGACGUCUCAACACCACAACAAUAUCUUAAGAAUCCCACAUUAACGAAAGGUUCCCGAGACACACCAGCUGAAGGAUUGUAACUGUAAGCGACCAAUCACCCCUGCGGAAGUUCACUUCCCUAUUCCAAGUUAAUCCUUAUCUUGGCAUCAACUCUUAUUGCUAAAAUAAAUGAUAACUCACAAUUUUUUUGCCAGAA